AUCUCUUCGGAGACAUUUGAUAGAAUUAAAACAACACAGAGAAGAUUAGCAUGGGCCAUGUGCAAGGAUGACACGCACAAAUCAAGAAAUGGUCUAAAUUUUU